UAGGAUAACCGGGGAGGACGACAACCAGCGGCGAGGACGACCCAUGAGGACCGUGACCAGCAGCGAGGAUGGACGGCGACAGGAGAAGGAGCGGUCGACGGGGAGCAGGGGGUGGGGGAGCGUCGUUGUGCGUUAACCCGUGUGCGCCUGCAUUGAUCGAAGGUCGGAUACAAGAGAGGGGAGUGGAGGGCUUAGGAUGGGCAGAACCGAUGGACACGGUGUGAUCGACCUAAAUUUGGGUCGGCGUGUCGAUGCAGAUCACUCGCCUAAAAAAAGUAUUGACCAUGUAUUAAAAAUGCUAAUAUGGUAUUUGAUGAAUAAUAAUCGAGCAUUUGGGAAAUGAUAAAUGUGUCUAGAAAAAAAUAUGACAAUGUAUUCAAUAAAUACUAAUCUUGUAUUUCAAGAAUGUUAUAGAUGUAUUACCAAAAUGUAUUAGAUAUGUAUUAAAAAGAGUAUAGAAAAACAAUGAAAACUCGAGAGAAAAU
rnacentral:lncRNA from 1 species